rnacentral:lncRNA from 1 species
CAUGCUGACUGUUCUGUACCAUUUUUUCCUGAGAUACAGUAUAUCCAUUUAGCUGCAUAUUUAGGCCUUUCUCAGCCUUCAUGUGUCUUGCUUCAUUCUUCAGGAACACAAGUUCUGUGUGAGUUGGAAAUCUUUUGUCUGGUUUUCAGGGCCUUGUUUGGUUGAAGGAAAUUAAUUAGAUGUUCCAUAAUCCCUUGCUGCUCCUGUGAUCCUUGGACCAGCAGCAUUGACUUCACUGGGCAGAGCAUAAAAAUUUACCAAUUUUCUUGGUGUGAACACUCCCACCAUGGCUGAUUUCAAGCUAACAACAUGAUGUCGCUGAACGUAGAAUUGGGAAGAGAUGUGAACAAUCUGUUCCUGUAUGCCUGUGCAAGCUACUCCAGCACACCACUGAGGAGAGAGAAGAUCGCCAGUAGUUGGAGACCAUCUGCAGAACUGGAGCAGUGCACGGGAAGCACGUUAUAAAUUUUACAUUCUUAUGUAGGAACGUAGACAGAAUCUUGAUGCUCCUACAAAGGUUCUGUUGGUCAUCGGACAGUCAGAGUGCUGGGCGCCUCUGUCACAGAGUGGAAAAGUGGGAGAAUAUACUGUCAACAAUCAGACCUCUGAUCAAAGGCAGAGAUAAUCUAGAGCUGAGAGGAGGAAAAAAGGACAUCACUAGGAUUUAAGCUCAUCUCUCUCAUAAUUGAACAGUGUAAACGGAAAGGAAAUUGAAGAUAUUUUAAAUUAUGCUUUUGCCAGCACUGAUUAUCCUUGACCACGAGGAAUCCAGAUGCCAGACUGAAACAUCAGUUUCUUGUCUUAAAGGAGUUGCAGCUGCCUGUUAAACUGAUCGUGGCUGUGCACAGAGGAGGCAGUUGGAGAUGGCAAGCAUCAUAUGCUCCAGUGUAUCAUCUGGACUGGAGAGGUGUCAGUGAAGGAAGACACACAUUUUACAUCCUCAUGUUGUACAAAAGAAGGAUCCUGUGUAUUUUCCCUGCUUAUUUUGUGAUUCAAGAGUUGAGGCCAGAAAAAUACAUACACAUGGAAGCCUGUGGCUCAGAAUGGAAAAUUUGGAAAAGAUCCUUUCUACAACCAGACCUCCUAUAAAAGGCUAAGAAUUUCAAGGAUGAGAGGAGGAACAGAGCAUUUCUAGGCUCUAAGCCCAUUUUCUUUCUUGGAAAUCAAUCCAGACUUGAAGUUCAACAGAUUGACACAGAUGAGGAUAUAUCUUAUGUGAGGAAGAGAAGAAAGAAGAAAGGAUCAUUCUAUCUCAGCCUGAAAACCUACAAAUCAAGCAUGCAACAGG